GAUGAACGCUGGCGGCGUGCCUAACACAUGCAAGUCGAGCGAUUCUCUUCGGAGAAGAGCGGCGGACGGGUGAGUAACGCGUGGGUAACCUGCCCUGUACACACGGAUAACAUACCGAAAGGUAUGCUAAUACGAGAUGAUAUAUUUUUAUUGCAUGAUAAAAAUAUCAAAGCUUUUGCGGUACAGGAUGGACCCGCGUCUGAUUAGCUAGUUGGUAAGGUAACGGCUUACCAAGGCGACGAUCAGUAGCCGACCUGAGAGGGUGAUCGGCCACACUGGAACUGAGACACGGUCCAGACUCCUACGGGAGGCAGCAGUGGGGAAUAUUGCACAAUGGGCGAAAGCCUGAUGCAGCAACGCCGCGUGAGCGAUGAAGGCCUUCGGGUCGUAAAGCUCUGUCCUCAAGGAAGAUAAUGACGGUACUUGAGGAGGAAGCCCCGGCUAACUACGUGCCAGCAGCCGCGGUAAUACGUAGGGGGCUAGCGUUAUCCGGAAUUACUGGGCGUAAAGGGUGCGUAGGCGGUCUUUCAAGCCAGAAGUGAAAGGCUACGGCUCAACCGUAGUAAGCUUUUGGAACUGUAGGACUUGAGUGCAGGAGAGGAGAGUGGAAUUCCUAGUGUAGCGGUGAAAUGCGUAGAUAUUAGGAGGAACACCAGUAGCGAAGGCGGCUCUCUGGACUGUAACUGACGCUGAGGCACGAAAGCGUGGGGAGCAAACAGGAUUAGAUACCCUGGUAGUCCACGCCGUAAACGAUGAGUACUAGGUGUCGGGGGUUACCCCCCUCGGUGCCGCAGCUAACGCAUUAAGUACUCCGCCUGGGAAGUACGCUCGCAAGAGCGAAACUCAAAGGAAUUGACGGGGACCCGCACAAGUAGCGGAGCAUGUGGUUUAAUUCGAAGCAACGCGAAGAACCUUACCUAAGCUUGACAUCCCAUUGACCUCUCCCUAAUCGGAGAUUUCCCUUCGGGGACAGUGGUGACAGGUGGUGCAUGGUUGUCGUCAGCUCGUGUCGUGAGAUGUUGGGUUAAGUCCCGCAACGAGCGCAACCCUUGCCUUUAGUUGCCAGCAUUAAGUUGGGCACUCUAGAGGGACUGCCGAGGAUAACUCGGAGGAAGGUGGGGAUGACGUCAAAUCAUCAUGCCCCUUAUGCUUAGGGCUACACACGUGCUACAAUGGGUGGUACAGAGGGUUGCCAAACCGUGAGGUGGAGCUAAUCCCUUAAAGCCAUUCUCAGUUCGGAUUGUAGGCUGAAACUCGCCUACAUGAAGCUGGAGUUNCUAGUAAUCGCAGAUCAGAAUGCUGCGGUGAA
rnacentral:rRNA from 1 species